rnacentral:lncRNA from 1 species
GCCAAGAAGACAGCGCAGGCUUAUCUCAAGGUGAAUGCCCGAAAAUGCUAGCACGGACAAGAGCUUCCCAACUACUUUCUGAAGGAGGCAAAAGCUGCAAAGCCGUUGGAGCAAGGACAGUUAUCGGUGACAACGACAUCAAGGACGCGCUGAGCACGUGCCAUGGAGAGAAAAGACAGCUCUACCCCUCCAUCUUUGUCCCUUAUAAAUAACACAUCUGUAAUAGAAUUGAGGACCGA